UUCUGAGCUCCAAUGAGAACUGAUCAUGAGAGGAGCACACCCACGUCAAGGAGGAACCAGGAUUUCAAGCUGACACAUGGCUGUUUUAGGGAAACCAGAACUGGAACUGAUGACCGUGGAGCAGCGGUCUGGCUGCCAGAGCCGAGCUCGUAAGGCGGCAGAGGAGACUGGUGGCGGCCAUGUGUGCGACACAGGUUCUGUUCCAGCGGUUGGAAUGUUUUCCUCAUUUCGGUUUUACUAGUCGGCAAACGAGCCAGGCUUUGGAAUUCUGCGAACGGAUUACCCGGCUGCGGUCCAGCCAGUCAGCAGCCAACCCGUUUUACGUUGUGUCAGUCAUGCUAAUGUUUUUAAAAAGCCUGUUUCAGCUGCGUGGCGUUCCCUGGCAGAGGUCCUCUCUGGCCCCUCGCGGGGUUUUUUGUUGUUCACCUCAAACAGGAGAAAUGCGUUUAGAGGGCUUCUGCUGGUCCCUUAAUUGUCCUAUAAACCUCUUUCUUAUUCUUUUACAGAAUAAGUCAGUUCCCCUCCAGCUCCAAACUGAUUUUACGAGCUGGACGGGGAUGAAAAGCAAAGUACGGUAUCUGGAAAGUAGAAAAGUUUCGGGAAGAAUCCAGCCAGUUUUUCAAAUCACCUGCUGCACCCACGCUUUCUCCUGCUGUUAGGAGGUUUCAGAGGCUCCUGCAAUAUGAAUUCCGCCCUUUUUUCUGGUACACCUGUGGUUACAAAUGACCUGUCCAUCCGUCCGUUUUCUAACCUUUUCGUCCAAGUGAGGGCUGCAGGGGAGCCGGAGUCUAUCCCAGCAAGCAGCGGCUACAAGGCAGGGGACAGCCUGAAUGGGACGCCAGUCCUUCGCAGGCUAAAACAUUGAUGAAAAAAUAGUUUUAAUACCAUACCUUAAUUUGUUUUACAGUCAUACCUAUACCUUAACAUGCAGCACACUGUUCAUAUCACUUGAAAGCCUUUUUAAGCAAGUUUCUGAGCCCGCAGGGACGCCUGCCUGUUGCCCCCUCCAGUUCUGCGUGAAUAAAUGGAAAGGUGGCUGGAUAACAAAAGUUGAAGUUACGCCUGUGAGCUGGUUACUUUUUUUAAACCAGUGGCGUGUCUAUCCCAGCUCUUCCUACAGCUCUUCCUGUAGUGUUCCCUGUAUCCAAGUGCCGGAGCUCUUAUCCCUAAGGAGAUGCCUUUCGCUUUGUUGUUGUUGAGGUGGUUUUCAUACCUAGGCCAAUGGCUGUUUGAUGAAGUUUAGCACUGAGCUAUUGCACUGUUUUCUUGUGAAACAAGCUUUUGAUUAUUACAGAUUAGGACAUGCUAGAGAAUAUUAACGGAAAAAGCCCUGCAUUUAUAACCCUCCAUAUCUGUGAGAAGCUCUGCAGCAAAACUGGAUUUUCAUCUUUUCAGCAAAAAAAAAACCCAUUCAAAAUAAGAAAAUACAAGCGCAAGAGCCCUGUAACACAAUGAUCUUGUUUAUGAUGCGGUGUGGUGCUUCUUAAUUGGUUUUGUAAUCACUUAAAUAGGAUAAAAGAAAUGUCUUUUGGGCAUUUCUCAAGCAAGGUUAGUUUUAAGAGAUGUUAUUGUUGCUCUGCAGCAAGUGGGGACAGAGGACAGCUUUUACUUGGAAAGUGGAAAUUAAAGAAUUGAUCCACAAAAACGCUCACAUGUUUUUCAGUGGUGGAGUCAUUCUUGCCUUAAAUCAUGCAUCUUUGGUCAACAAUGCAGUCUGGCAAAGUAUGACCUCCAUCUGACCUCCACCUUUCAGCUGAGCUGUUUGAUCUUUUCUUCUGGCCUACUUUUGCUGAAUGGCUUUUAUUGUUGUUGUUGCUCUGUUAAUGAGAGCAAAGGGAGAGUAAUUGAAUAUCUAUCGAUUUUCAAUAUAAUGCAUUUCCUUAGAUGCCGAAUGCUGUUUGAACGGGAAAUGUUAUCAAUUGGAUCUGACGUAGUAAUCAGGUUAUUAAUUUUAACACUAAAGCAACCCAAACCACCACUGUUUCCACCUGUAUACAUUUCUCACAGAAACUGAAACUGCAUUGAAGCGCAGUAGCCAUACCUCGUGUGGAGCUGAUGUUAGACACUGCUUCAACUUCUUCUUUUUUGUCAAUGCAAUUUUAUUUUAUUUACAGGCAGAAACCAGAAAGGAGCUCAUGUUUUGGCUCAGUGGUUCAGACAAGCAUGUGUAGGCAGGAUGACAGGCCCUUGUGCUCCUGAAGAGAAGUGUGUGCCUCCAGCCUCUACUGUCUUUUCAGGAAGGAAAACUACCCAGUAGAGUUUCAGAUUGUUUAAAUGUUUUUUUUUAUGUGACUUUUUUAUUCGCAUGUUGCACACAGAUGGACCAACCCAUUUUUUAAAGGGACUCUUUAGUGAAGCUGUAAGUCAUUUUUAAUGUCUGGACAUAAGCCACCUAUGCUUUUUGAGCGGCAGUCUGUGGCUUUUGGUUUCGCACUUUGUGAUUUUGUGUAAAGCUUUAUUUUAAAGUCGUGAGUGUGCAGUGAUAUCUUGCAUUCAUGCUUUGCCACCCUGUAGACCUUUGAGCGCCUCAGCAGUGCAGAUUGUUCCUGAUGAGGCAGUGUAGAGAUGUGUUUUAAUGAGCCAUGGUGAAGAUGAGAGGUCUCCGAAGGUAAUGCAGUUGACUCCAAGCAGGAUUCCAAGGAGUGCUGCUUUUUUUUUAUCAGCAGCACAUUAGAGCCACAUCUUUAAGACACUGGCUCAAUAGCAGGACUUUGAUCCAAACCCAGAGCAAGGUCUGAUUUAAGUACAAACUAGUCCAGUGAGAGUCAGUCUUCCCUGUACGGUACAUCAGCUUUCAGUCAAAAAUGCUUCUCUGCUUAAAUUAUUUGUGGAUUUCAGACUGGUUAUUUAUUCAGUCACACCAGGGCACGCACACUGAGGAGCGAAAUAUUAUAAUGAUUUUAAUUGCUCCAUGAACAGUUAUCUUCUUUCGGCUGAGCUUUCUGAAGUGCUACAUUUAAAAAAUUUAAAGGUGCAAGCAAGAGAUUUAAUAUAGGUGUGGAAAAGAGACAUUUUUUUUCAGCGGAAUACAAAUUUGGUGUUAUAAAUAGGCUUCAUUUGUAGUGAAAAUGUUACCACUUUAGUUAAAAGGUUUGUUAGUGAUUCUGCCUGACUGCAGAAAGAUGUCCCUUGAUAUUGCUGUGUUGGAAAGUGCUUUAAAGUCAAAGCCUUCUGUUUUUUAGAUACUCAGUUCCUUAUUUUUUGGUCCAGUUGUCUGUGAAUCAUCGCUUACUUUGUUGGUAAGGUGUAGCAAGUUUGCAGUAAAGCACUGCUGUCUAGUGUGUUCUGCUGGGGCUGUGUGGGAAUCGUUAAGCGUUGGGAAGGAGUGGAGAGCUCCUGCCUCAGUGAUCACCAGCUUUUAGCCAUCGGAACCAACCUGCUUUCAAAAGGCUUCCUUCCGCUACGGAUCAAACCUUUCAUCAGCGUGUUAAAACAGUGCAGUGUGUUGAGGAAUGAUAAAAGAUGCACAUCCGAGUCUUCAUUCUUUUGGAAUUUGAGCCUGGAUGUGCCGUUUUCCGUGUUGCCUUUGGGAAGGGCGAGGCGGCUCUGCAUCGGUGAACUGUUGUUCGAGCACUGUGGUACGACAGCGUGUGUGCUUCGCUCAUGUUUGCAGUAGUGAUGCUAACAGGUCUGGUGCCUUCAUAUCGUAGCUGCUGUAGAAUAUUUAACCGCUUGUAUCAGGCGCAGCAACGCAUUGGCUUAGCUUCUGUGCAUGAAAUGUGAUGCUUUUGCUUUGCAAUAUGUAGUGUUUUUUGUGUGAAGGAGAUUGUCAGUCAUAAACAUAAACAAUGUUGAAGAAAUCUCUUGAAGUUCCUUAUCUCGGGCUGGUCCUGAGACAGUGUAGCAAUUCCCUUAUAAUUAUAUAAUGUUUUAAUGUAGAUACCAUGCAAACGUAUAUAUAAAUACGUGAAUACCCUAAUACAGUUUUGGAAGGUGAGCUAAGUCAUAUCAUUAUUUACCAUGAGUUGUUUGCAAAGGCACCACCCAAAAAAUACUCCAUCUAUAAUUUGUCAUAUUGAGCUUUAAUAUUUUCAUAUCAAUUGUACAAAUAAAAAUGCUUGAAAUCACUUUACUAUGUAUUUCUGAAUGUGCAAAAGGGAAAUGUCAAGCUGUUUACUAAUAAAAACAUUUAUUAAAGAA